rnacentral:piRNA from 1 species
UUUUAACAAAUUUCUGAUAGA